UACGUAGGGUGCGAGCGUUAAUCGGAAUUACUGGGCGUAAAGCGUGCGCAGGCGGUUCUGGAAGACCGAUGUGAAAUCCCCGGGCUUAACCUGGGAACUGCAUUGGUGACUGCAGGGCUAGAGUGUGUCAGAGGGAGGUGGAAUUCCGCGUGUAGCAGUGAAAUGCGUAGAGAUGCGGAGGAACACCGAUGGCGAAGGCAGCCUCCUGGGAUAACACUGACGCUCAGGCACGAAAGCGUGGGGAGCAAACAGG
rnacentral:rRNA from 1 species